GCGGAUAUAGUUUCAAACCAAAACAUUAGGCUGUGAUCCUAAAGACAGAAGUUAAACUCUUCUUACCCGCC
rnacentral:tRNA from 1 species